GCUGGCGGCGUGCCUAAUACAUGCAAGUCGAACGAGGUAGCAAUACCGAGUGGCGAACGGGUGAGUAACACGUAGGUAACCUGCCUUACAGUUUGGGAUACCCUGGCGAAAGCUAGGCUAAUACCGAAUAAUUGGAUUGGAGGCAUCUCCGAUCUCUAAAAGGGGCCCUUAAAGCCUCGCUGAAAGAUGGACCUGCGGCGCAGUUAGCUAGUUGGUGAGAUAACAGCCCACCAAGGCGAGGAUGCGUAGCCGACCUGAGAGGGUGAACGGCCACACUGGAACUGAGACACGGUCCAGACUCCUACGGGAGGCAGCAGUAGGGAGUUUUCGGCAAUGGGGGAAACCCUGACCGAGCAACGCCGCGUGAAUGAUGAAGGUCUUCGGAUUGUAAAGUUCUGUUAUAAGGGAAAAAUGAUAGGGUGAGGAAAUGCUCCCUAUUUGAUGGUACCUUAUUAGAAAGCCACGGCUAACUACGUGCCAGCAGCGGC
rnacentral:rRNA from 1 species